rnacentral:tRNA from 1 species
AAAGAAAUAAUUUUAAAAAGCUUCUAACUUUUAUUAGAGCAAUAGCCUGUUCAUAUUUCUU